GAACAAGUCGGGAGCCACCGCAUCGCCGGCAUCGAGCGUCUUCUUACUCUGCAUCGCCGGAGCUCCGCCGCUCGAUCCCCCGCCAUCACUGCGUCCCCGGCCUCAUCGUCCCCUCCUCUGCGACCGCGGUGAGCACCCGCACCGAGCCCCUCUUGCCUUGCCCUUGCAUUAGAGCCAUAACACACUACCGACGUUGCCGUGCUCCGGCCGCCACUUAACGCCAUUGCUGUCAUCGAUUCCAUCAACCUUUGCUCACGACGCCAGCACAGGUAGAUGCGCUGCGUUGCGCUUGUUCCGUAGGUGAUCUCCGCGUGACGUUUGCUCAACAGAGCGACGAGUUUCAUGACCGCCGCCGCCCGCUAUGGUCGCCGACGUUACCACCGCCGUUCGUACUCACCGUCGUGUGGUCGCGCUCACGCGUGUCUCUGGCCGCCCGGCCGCUCGCACCGGCCGUGCCGGCCCGCGACCUUCCGCCGUUGCCUCACGUGCGCGUCCCAGCUGCCUGUUGCCGCCGCCGCUGUUGCUGCUUAUGCUACUGCCGCUGCCUGCCUGUGCUGACUAUCGUUGCUGCUGGUCAUGCUGCUACCACUGCUCGACUGCUGCCUGCGUCGCGUGCCUCGACCACCCCUGGCCGCGCUCAAUCGCUGCAGGCCGCGCUCGCCGCAAGCUCUUGUUUUCCCCACACCGACCGCGCGCCUGCAUGCGCCCUCCCGUGCUUGGCCGCGCCCGCGCCACGCCGAUACGCAUCGUUGCUCUACCUACUUCUGCUAGUUACUAUAGCUGCUGCUAGCUAGCUUUUCUAAUUCUACACUGACUAACAACCUAGAGAAUCCCUAAACAGCGACUAAACGAUGGUUAACAUGAGUAAGAACUAUAUGGGCAGAAAUUACACUUGACAAAAUUCAUUUUAUCCCACUGGACCAAAUCCAUUUGAUGUAAGGAUUAAAUCCUAUAAAAAUCACAAAAUCCUAUGUUCGUAUAUUUUAGUAGUUUCUGGAAUUAACUUGAAGUGGCACUUUUCAAAUACAGUUUCAAUCAAGCAAAUGAACUCUAACAUGGAUGUCAAUGAUACUGUCAUGUAGAUCACAGAAAGAUGAUAAAAAUUGGUAAAAUGCACUAAUUCAUAGGAUAUACGGAACACUGGUUAUAGCCUUUGAAAAACUGCUAAGUGAUGUUCAAAAACUGAACAAUUCUCAGAUUUAGCCAAUUUUCAGAAAAUUCCAUAAUAUUGAUUUAACUCGGAAAAAUCAUAGAAAAUAAACCGUAGCUCGGAUGGAAAAACUUUAUACACGAAAGUUGCUCAGAACGACAAGACGAAUCCGAAUAUGCUCUCCUCAUACCCGUCACAUGCCUCUAGCGUGAUGAACAUUGUACUUUCCCUUCCGUUUCAUCUGUCCGAUAAUCACCCGGAGCUGGGAGAACACUCACGGAUAAUUUCCCACUCCCACUAACUUGCGUAGUACUGCAUUAGGGCACACUUCGAGUAACGUGCAGCCAUGUCAUGCUUCUGUGAUUGCAUUUGUCUGCCUUUAUUUAUUGUUGCUUCCCCCUCUUCCCUGUCAAUAGACCCCGAGACCGAUGAUGACCCGAUGAUCGUCUACCUCGUCGAAGACCCGUUGUUGUCUGCAAAGCAACCAG
rnacentral:lncRNA from 1 species